rnacentral:ncRNA from 1 species
CCCUCUGAGUUUAAGCAUAUCACUAAGAGGAGGAAAAGAAACUAACAAGGAUUUCCCCAGUAGCGGCGAGCGAACCAUGA